UAUAUUUUUACUAUAUCUUUAGGGAUUAAAACAAAAGGGAGAUGGGGCCAAGAGGGGAUAGGGGAGGGGAGCGGCCGCCGCGCGUCUAGCGCUGACGUGGGAGCAGCUGCUAGUGGAGACAGCUUGGGAUCGUAGGUGAAAUUCAACGAACAGCCCCGACAGGAAGGGAACGGCAGAGGUCGCCAAGAGGGAGCAGCGAGGUUCGAAGGCAGAAGAAGAGGUCGCCGCGAGCGAGGCGCGGAGGCUGCUUCAGCACCCACGCCCCCCGAAGGUCGCAGGUACCAGCUGUAGCUGCUCACGAGCCACCGCGAGCACGGGCUCGAGCUCGUACGCGACCGCUUGGGCUUGGGGAGGAGGUAGAGGGGCCUGCGUACCCGCGGAAAGCUCCGGCGGCGCGAGCCACAGUACACGGCCUAGGUCGGUUGGCAGCGGAGCCUCCCCGCGGCACGCCGGCAACAGCUGAUAUAGGUUGCGGAGCAGUUCACAAGGCAGCCGACGAGCCAGAAAGGUAAACCUAGGCAAGGUGACUUUUGUAUAGAAGGACUACCUCUAUAACUGAACCGACGAAAGCCAAUAUGUACAAGACUACUUUCGGAUCGUUUACUCCAUGCACGGUAAGACCUUAGUCUUCUCGCCGCGUUUCUACGACUUAAACUUUAGUUUCUACAGGUCAUAUAUUUACGACUCCAGUUCGAUCAGUUUACGAAACAGGUUUUAUAACAACAGCUGUAGAGUAAAUUAGUCUAACCACCUGAUAUAUGCGAAACAAAAGAUCUCGUCCACUUAGUUUCUAAACUUUUUUGGGUGGAAAAGUUCUCUUCAUAUCACGAAUAUUUUCGGACCACAAUAAUACUUUCGGCGUAGGAACCUCGGGUGGUACCAGAUUAAAGAUGGAUACGGAACCUCUGUAAUCACGAUAUAUAGAAGGUAGAGAAGGUACUCAGAAACCUACCAGGUAAUCGACAUGAGAUAUCCAAAGACCUGAUAAUAUCGUUCAAACUGACCCUAUUGUCCCCAUAUUCGAAUGUACCAGGAUAAAGGAAUAGAAGGGAUGGACUCGAUCGAUGACUGGGUGGUCCGUAAGUAUUACUAACAAAAGAACUCGCCCUCCUCAAAGAUUCUCUUACACGAGUUUACAAAUGACGGGGGGGAUCCUUGAUACUCUCUUUAUGUGCGGGCAAGGGAGCUUUUAAAGAGUUGUAUCACCUAGGUAACUUCGUCUCAUUGUUAGAGCCCGCGUCACAGUCGUUUCCAUUGAAAAUGUCUUAUGCGUCACGAAAACUAGAACCACGGGCCUUCGAACCUUUCUAGGAAGUUCAAGGACGGUUAAGAUAGCACCUACUUCAGUUAGUCAAGAAGUCCUCGUGUGACUUCUCUUUGGAGCCGUCCCAUGCGGGUCUACACGUUCCGUGACGUCACUUGAACUUGUAACUUUCUCUGUUGUUCCCAAUAGGUGGAAAUGUGUCAUUAGGGACACUCCUAGAUAGAAUAGUCGAAUCAUCAUAGUUGUAAAGUCUAUUAGUACCUAAAGACUUCGUCCUCCUUGUAUCGAGAUCGCCACUCGUGGUCCUUUACUUUAGACGAAGUGUAGAACAUUGAUCAAGAAAACAAUCACACUCGUUACCCUACAGUUGUUUCCACAUGUUUCUCCGCCUACCACUAGCCCCACGGUGGUGACUGUUAGAUAGUCUAGAGUGUCCCCUAAUGUCUUGUUUAAAAUUGUUAGAGGAGAUAAGUGUCUCAACGGUGGUUCUGAUAGGUCAAGUAGGUAUGAUAGGUUACGAACGGGGCGGUGGACAUGUUAUAGUCUUGUUUGUGAGUGACUUACCAGUAUUGUCUUUUUUACGAAUACCUAUAGGGUCACGUUUGUCUUACCGGGGACCAGGAAUAAGUGGACCGAUGAAGCAGAAUUUCGGCAAAAUAGCGUGACUCCUAGGAUACGUUGGAGUACCUCGUCAGUGGAUGAAGGGGUUGGGUUUAAACACGUACCUCCGUGGUGGGUGACCUGCUCCCCUUUCUUUCUUAAUAAAGGGAGCCUUAUUAAUAGUUUUCGUAGUGGCAAUACCAUCCCACCUGUACGGACGUCUAUACUGUGCAAGACUCCUUAACUCCGUUGUCGGUGGUAACGGCUAAAUACAAGGACAACGUUUACUAUUUCCUUAAGGGAGAGGCAACUUCUAUGGUUGUGGUAGUAGGGUAAGAUGUGUCCUAUUAUAAGUACCUUCCCCGAAAUAAGUAGGUGUACUGUCGUUUGAACUCAAACCCUGGAACCCCCGUAACGUGUACCUUCAAUCCUUACGAAGGGUUUUAGUUCGAUUGUCUGGUAUAAGACGAAGACUGUCAUUUGGAAGACGUUGGGACUCUAGCUUGAGAGGACCUGUUUUAGGACCUUGCCCAAUAUUUAGAUUACAUUACUCGUUACUGAUAACUCCGUGUGGUGUUAAUAAUCAAAGAAUUUGUCUUUAAUUCCUUAUCAUUCGGUAUAGUAGAGUUCCUGUUACCACUAAAGGGUGGUGAUAGGUCAACUGCGGUAUAUACCGAAUGGCGUAUCGUCUCGACAACAAAAAAGACUAAGUUGGCCUUCUAUGACUACACACCGCGUGUGAGUCACGUCGGUAUCGUCUCCCAAAGAGAAGAUCAGUUCGUAGUAGUACGUGUAGGAUUGAACCAAGAGGUCAGUAGUCUAAGUGGAAUACGCCGCCGCUGUUACGUUCAAACGGGACGUCAUUGGCUUCAAAGUCGGGGAUGGGGAGGACCUUUUGUCCUGUAAAACACGGUACAUCUUGACAUCUAUGAACCCCCGUUUUUUAUAUAAAGGAAAGCAAAAGAAAUUUCAAAACCGCAAGGGGAAUUCACCCCUUGUCCUACGUUUCUACCUAUCCUUUUCUCUAUCAAAUCUGUAAGACAAAAAUGGGACACUCGUAAGCUCCUAACGAGCCCUCGAGCGGCAACAUCACAAUUAGACAGACCCAGAACUGAACGUUGACUUUCUGGGGAACGGACUUCAUUGUAAUCGACGGAUCUUUACCUAUCCGCAACGUAUACUCUAAAACCUCAACGUCAACUAUGUAAGACAGUCGCAAGACAUAGAAAGUGUACCUUUCUUUAAAACGAGCAUAACACGGAACGG
rnacentral:rRNA from 1 species